AUGGAUAAAAAGGAUGUAUCUAGAACUAAAAUAUGUCUAGAUACAUUCCCUUUUAUUCAUUUUGAUGACAAGUAUUUCCGGACGGAGGGAGUAUAUGUGAAAUAUACAAACAUUUAUUCCUUGUUUUCUUAUCGUCUAAUGUGUUUGGCACUUUUUCUUUCAGAUUUACCUCUCUUCUUUGUGCAGCAGGUGCAAGGUCUCAACAUGUUCAAGGCUACUUCCAGCUCUUCUUUUUUCAUUUUCAUUUUAUUUUUGUUCAUGCAUUUUUCUACCAUACAAGGACUUGAGGUGAUUCGUUGGUUGUAG
rnacentral:rRNA from 1 species